rnacentral:misc_RNA from 1 species
GAUGAAGAACGUAGCGAAAUGCGAUACGUAAUGUGAAUUGCAGAAUUCAGUGAAUCAUCGAGUCUUUGAACGCACAUUGCGCCCCUUGGUAUCCCGAGGGGCAUGCCUGUUCGAGCGUCAUUUGUACCCUCAAGCUUUGCUUGGUGUUGGGCGUCUUGUCUCUAGCUUUGCUGGAGACUCGCCUUAAAGUAAUUGGCAGCCGGCCUACUGGUUUCGGAGCGCAGCACAAGUCGCACUCUCUAUCAGCAAAGGUCUAGCAUCCAUUAAGCCUUUUUUUCAACUUUUGACCUCGGAUCAGGUAGGGAUACCCGCUGAACUUAAGCAUAUCAAUAAGCGGAGGA